GCGAAGGGAGCUACGGAGGCCGCCACACCCUGACGGAAACACCGCAAACGAAAAAGAAAGGUAACACUUAACUUGAGCGGAACAACCGCCACAGGUCGCUCACCUUAACUUUAGUCUGCCGGCGUUAAUGAUACCGGCUAACGGGCUUUUUGAAAAGACGGUUCAGCGGGCGGCGACGGGACGAGGAGACGAGGACUUCCGUCAACAAACAAACAAAUGAAAAAUGACUGUCAGAAGCGGCGAGUGCAGCUGGACAUUCAAUACGAGGGAUACUUCAACUUCACGAGAGAAAGGAGAGAGGACUUCGACGACAAAAUUGCUACAUCCUCAAAUGUGCACCAUAGAGUUGAGUUUGUGACGAGGUUACAACAUUGGUUGGCUGGCUGAGUGUUGGAGUUUUUCCUCUGGCAGAUGACACAGACGUUCCCCCUGGGGGGGGUCUGCUGAGCCUGGAAGCCACGGUAGAUCAUUUCCGAAGCCUUCCUGACGCCACAGCCGGCAUCCUGCUCUGCCAUUCAAACCCGCAUGUUCAAUAAACUAUUUAUUCACAUCUUAGUUAAUGGUGGGAUCUUUGCUUGUGAACUGCUGUUUUGAAUCACUGCAAAAAGCUAAAACUUUUGUAUUAUCAAAAUUACACAUUGAAAAUGGACACAAAAUACAUUUUGCAUUAUGACUUAACAACAAUAAUAAUAAUAGUACUUCCCAUCCAGUAAAGUCAGUAUUGAUUUAGGAUCCACAUUAUCACCUCAACUGCAUAUCAGUAAGAACUAGUGGAGCAACUACAUUAUUUUUAUUUUUGGAUUAUUUCCUUUCUGAGAAUUCAAGGUGCAAUGUCAACUAGUUUGUUUCGCCCGCACAGCCGUCCAGAACCCAGCGAUAUUCUGUUUACAAUGACUUAACAGCAAAAGAAACUGGAAAGUUGAGAAUCUGGGACUAGAAAAUAGCUGAUUUUUUUUUUUUUGUAUGUUAAAUGACAAAUUGUUUCAGCGCUAGUAAGAACACUUCUCUCUCCUAAGCAGGGUUUUCCUCCUUCACUCUUGUGAAUAA